UGGUGUGACAAAUGGGCCUUUGCAGGAAAGGUUGCAAUCAGAUGUUGUGUGACCUAAAAAAAAAAAAAAAAUACAUAAAUAAAUAACAAGUCUUUAUGCACUGAAUAUUUUUUAUAAAUCUACCUCAGCAAUUAUCUCUGCUGUGUGGCUCUGGGGAAAGUAUUUAACUCCCAGCACAGUGGUGCACAUUUUAUUUUCAGUAUUAACAAAACGGCCAGUCACAGCCAAGUAGGCCUCCAUGUUUAUUGAAGUUCACAUAUCAGCUGUAAGGCUGACUGCAUUGGUGGAAUUUUUCUUUUAUGUUCAGGGUUUCUGCUUCAUAUCUUUUAGAUACCAUUUCCUUUAGAGCUUGUAAAACAGAAAAAAAAAUCUUCAAACAAUAAUAAUAAUAAUAAUAAUUCAAACUGUUCAUGUUCAGUGCAAUUUCUGACAUUUACAGUACCUUCCUGGUUGGUAUUGCGUAUGAUGGCUCACGGGUCUGCAGCAUCUCCCUGAAUCCCUCGUCCUCAAUGAUGCUGAAAGGUUGGCAAUCUUUUAUUAUAAUAUUUACAAUGCAUAGAUUUAGGGCCUCUUUUCUAGAAGCUUGAAGUGAAAAGGAAAGGUGUCUGAUUUAGAUUACUAUUAGCCUCCAUAAUAAUUAGUGACUGAUUACAAUAUACUAAUCCACCAGUGUCCAUUCCUGGUGUAUUUUGUUCUCUUUCAGGGCGAGCUCAAUAAUGCUGGAGCACUGAUGAUGUUUCGGGUUGCAUAGGCUGUGGAAACAGGAAUGGAAUACAAAUUACCUUAUCAGGUGUUAUGAGAUCAAAAUGAUCCCACACAGAAGAAAACUUUCUCUUUCUUGGAGGGCCCAUAGUGACGAACGGCGUCGUAGCAGCAAGUGGCUCGAUCUGUGCUGGACUUCCCCAAAAGGGUCUGGCUGCAGACACAUGGGGAAAGUGGAGCUCCACUCCAGACCGGAAACACGUGACCUCCAACGAAGAUGUCAUCUCUACUUUUAUGUAGACCUAUGGGGCGACGAAACGAUUUAUUUUGACCGCAAUUAAAUGUUUAUUAAAUAAGAUUGUUUUUACGUUAUGGAAUUUGUUCGCACAUAUAAACACAGAGCAAAACGACCAUCUGGAAGACGGAGAAAACAUGGGUAAAGAAGCCCACGGAGUGAUUUAAUGAAGCUACGAGGAGAAAACACUGCAUUUUCACACACAGUGACUGAGUUAAACUUGUAAACACUUGGCCAGUAUAAGUCUUCCUGUAUGAGAACACAACACACUGCUGGGGCCACAAAACUGGUGGCUGAUGAGAUGCUCAUGAUUCAUAAAAUGGGUCAAAUGCAGAUGACAAAGAAAAGCAACACUGAGCAGGAGGUGCUGACCCAGACUCCUGCCUCUGUUUAGGUCUGGGACAUGUUACAUUGAAAACGCCAAUAAUAAUAAGAGCUGCAAAUGAAUCAUGCUCAUGUUGAAAUCAUUAUUUAAUUUUCUGAAAAUACACAUUUCUCAAAUGUGUGAGAUUUAGCUGUUUGGAUUUAUGUAAUAGUUUUCUUAAUGUGUGUGUCAUUACAGGUUUUCACUCUGCAGACAGAAAUUUCAACCAGUCAGACUUAAGGCCCAUUCUGCUCUUCCUCCUCCAGAACACGAGAGAUACAUCAGACUGAAUGAUCCAAGUACACUGGGUCAUGUCUCCACUGUCCAUGUCCAGACUCACAGAGGAGGAGGAGGUCCAGACUGCAGACCUGUGGGGCCUCUGGUUGCAUCAGGCCUUCCUCCUGCACAUUCUGUUUGCUGCUGUUCCUUAUGUGUCCUAAUAGUGAUGUGUCCAUAAAGUUUAGGUUUAACGUCUAAUUUCCUCCAGAAGUGAAACAGUAAAAUGGUGGUUUCUGUUCGUCUUAGCUGAGGAGCACCUAAACAGCUUUAUCACUGAGGAAGUGUCCCAUGAUAAAUGUGUCCUUAUAUGACCUUAACAAGUGUAUAAGACAAAACUAGAGUCAUAUAAGUUGCUCAUAAUAAGUUUUUCUGAAUGUUUUUCAGUCUGUACUGAUGUUUGAUUCAUGAUGAAAUGUGCCAUUUACUUUCUGUCUCUUUUGAAAGUAACUAAUUACAUGUACUAUAAGAAUGUACUGUUGUACUGCAGUUAAGCAGUGGUAUUCCACCUGAUCAUAUUUUGGAUUUUUUUUUUUUCUGCUUCAGCAA